rnacentral:rRNA from 1 species
GAUGAACGCUGGCGGCGUGCCUAAUACAUGCAAGUCGAGCGAACAGACGAGGAGCUUGCUCCUCUGACGUUAGCGGCGGACGGGUGAGUAACACGUGGAUAACCUACCUAUAAGACUGGGAUAACUUCGGGAAACCGGAGCUAAUACCGGAUAAUAUAUUGAACCGCAUGGUUCAAUAGUGAAAGACGGUUUUGCUGUCACUUAUAGAUGGAUCCGCGCCGCAUUAGCUAGUUGGUAAGGUAACGGCUGACAAAGGGAACGAUGCGUAGCCGACCUGAGCGGGUGGUCGGCCACCCUGGAAGUGAGGCACGGUACAGACUCCGACGGGAGGCCACAGUAGGGAAUCUUCCGCAAUGGGCGAAAGCCUGACGGAGCAACGCCGCGUGAGUGAUGAAGGUCUUAGGAUCGUAAAACUCUGUUAUUAGGGAAGAACAAAUGUGUAAGUAACUGUGCACAUCUUGACGGUACCUAAUCAGAAAGCCACGGCUAACUACGUG